GCCUCCUUCAGUUUUCCAUCUGUAAGGUACCACUGUAUUGGGUGCUUGCUAUUUGUGGAGCAAAAAGAAUGCUGAAGCAAGAAGGCAGCCUCGAAGGGGUAGGCAAGAGAUAUUUCCU
rnacentral:lncRNA from 1 species